rnacentral:snRNA from 1 species
UAAUUUGUGCAGUGGCAGUAUCGUGGCCAAUGAGGUUUGUCCAAGGUACAAUUAUUGCUAAUUGAAAAUAAAUGACCAUCUGUAAUCUGCAGUACUUUUAGCAGCUUCCUGUGCCCAAGAACAAGUGGCAGAUCUUCCUUGCAAGGUGCUGCAC